GUCAAGUCAUCAUGGUCCUUACGUCCAGGGCUACACACGUGCUACAAUGGACCGGACAGAGGGGUGCGAGGCCGAAAGGCGGAGCCAAUCCCAGAAAACGGUCCUCAGUUCGGAUUGUCGGCUGCAACUCGCCGGCAUGAAGCUGGAAUCGCUAGUAAUCGCGGAUCAGCGAUGCCGCGGUGAAUACGUUCCCGGGCCUU
rnacentral:rRNA from 1 species